AGCUAAUACCGGAUAAUAUUUUGAACCGCAUGGUUCCAAAGUGAAAGACGGUCUUGCUGUCACUUACAGAUGGAUCCGCGCUGCAUUAGCUAGUUGGUAAGGUAACGGCUUACCAAGGCAACGAUGCAUAGCCGACCUGAGAGGGUGAUCGGCCACACUGGAACUGAGACACGGUCCAG
rnacentral:rRNA from 1 species